AUAUAAAAUUACACCCUAGUGAUAAGGCUAGAUUUUUGCAAUUGAAAGCGCAACAAGGGGGGAGGACAAGUGUUGAUUCUACAGUUAAUCCAAGUACUGGUUCAAAUCUAGUUCAACCAGGAAUAAACAUAGUCACCAGAGGUAUUUUAUAUUACGAUCCAAAUAAGGAUCGUGAAGAAUUAGCGAAAAUGAUUACUGUUAUGUGUUUGCCUUAUUCUUUUGCUUCUAAUCCUGCAGGAUUCAUUAUAUUAGAAGAGUAUUUAAUCCUACGUAUAAAGGUUGGCCUCGCGCAACAGUUAAGGCCGAUAUUUAUAAAUAGAAGCAUGAAUAU
rnacentral:lncRNA from 1 species